GAUUUCUGAAAUAGUGUUUUCUGGUUUUAUUGGAUGAAAAUUAGUUUACCUGAUAAUGAUCUUUCAGUAAUUGGUUGAAGAAAUCAUUUAGGUAAUCUUGUUUCAGAUUCAUUCUGUAAAACUUUAAAUUCUAUUGCCCUGAUCAUUUUUAGUACAGGUAUCUCUCAUUUAUGUAAUAGAAAGUUUUUUGUGGAAUUUCGUUCAUUUUCUAUGUUUUUCCAUUCAUUCCCUUUCUACAGUCACACGGGGGAAAUUUAUCCACUGGAACGCAACAUAGUACAAUGAAGUAAGCACUGUAAAAUGGAAAAUGUAAAGACAAUCAAGAUGUUAACGCUAAAGUGUUAACAUUGAUGUGGUAGUGUACUCAUGA
rnacentral:lncRNA from 1 species